UUGACCUUGAUGUGGCAUGGCUAUUUAGGCAGAGAAUUGGUGUUUGAGCGGCAAAAUGGAUUUCCUCCUUUCUCCUCAUUUUGUGAAACCGCCUAAUGAAGAUAUGGAAACCCAAUCAAUUCUCAAUCAGUUGAAAUUCUUAUACAAAAUUAUCAAUGCGUUUCCAUUAUUAACGCUUAUAAACUGUCUAUGUUUAAUCAGAGAAUUCAAACGCUUUUGAUCUUUCAAUCACUGCUUAAUCUUCAAUCGAUCGAUUAUCAUUGUGUUGUUCUUCCAUUCCAGAAUUAGGAUUUAGGGUUCUAAUAAUGUGGGGCUGAAUCAAGAAGAAGAUGUGUAAUAGCCCUAAUACUAUCUACGGCUUCAUCUAUGGCGAUUGUAUCUAUACCCACUACAAAAAUCUCUACAUCUCGAGCAUUCGAACUCUCAUCUAGAUUGGUUAAGAAUAUUCUCCACUGCCUUCUUUUGCAAAGACUUGUAGAGAUGAAGUUUUAAUAGGUAGCUGUAAAGUACUACUGGAAGAUAUAACAAAUGAAACAAUAGUGUGAUAGCAAAAUUACAUUACGGAUUUCAUUUCGAUUUGAGUUUAUACAUUUUAAGGAUGCUUUCGAUAUUUGGAGAAAGAAUGGUUGUGCAUAGAAACAUGAGUUCAACAUUGAUGGGCAGGUUGAUGUUAUUUUAUAUUAAGAAAGCAUAACGACAUCACACAGAAAGCCAAAGAAUUCAUCUAGGGUUCCGGCGAACUUUCGAACAAGCUCCGGUUUAUAUGUUGGUGUUUACCUUGCUAGCCCUUUGAUAUGAAUUUUGAUGGCACCAGGUUUGACACUCAAUAAAAAUUAAUGGUGUAGUAAAGACUAUACUAAGACAUUUUAAGAAAUCGUAAGCAUGACUCGAGACGAUUGAGUAUAGGUAAUUUAAUAGCAGGUGACGCGUAUAAAGUAUGAACCAUUUAAAAUUCUUAAAUAAAUACAGGGGCCAUGGAUUAACUAUACUGUUCGGAUCAUGGAUUGUAACUAUAUACACAUUAUAGCAAAUGGUUGAGAUGCAUGAGACCAUACUCGGGAAUAGGGACAAGCAUUUGGUACCGGGUACCGGUGCCGAAUUUCCUGUACCGAUUUAUUUUCGGCACCGAUUCGGUACCCACUUUUUGGCGUUUUUGGUACCGGUACUUUUGGUUCGGUACCGGUUCACUACCGUACCAAUAUUUUACUGAAUUUUACCCUCAAAUACCGGUACGAUACCUUACCGUAACGAUAUCAAAUUUGGUACUGGUAUAUUAUGUCAUGAACCAUUUAAAAAUUAAAAAUUUGAUAGUGUUCUCAUUUUUUAUUAUUAAUGUGUUUAAUAGCUUUGCUUCGUGACUUCUUCAAAUCAAACAUCAAUCUUGAUUCACCCACCACAAAGGGUUUAUAUGUUGGUGUUUACCUUGCUAGCCCUCUGAUAUGAAUUUUGAUGGCACCAGGUUUGACACUCAAUAAAAAUUAAUGGUGUAGUAAAGACUAUACUAAGACAUUUUAAGAAAUCGUAAGCAUGACUCGAGACGAUUGAGUAUAGAUAUGCUUCGCGACUUCUUCAAAUCAAACAUCAAUCUUGAUUAACCCACAACAAAUGAUUUGCAGCAAGCUUAGUUUAGGAAUACUGCAGUAGCGGUUAUUUCUAGAAUCGAAACCCACCGUGAAGCGGUUGGUGUUCCACUAGGGUGGAUGCAAAUAUAUACUACAUACGUAACCUGAGUCAAUCCAUCCACAUGUAAAUAUGUUGUUCUGCAGAUGUCGUACAAUCAUUUGGUGUAUGAGCUCGCCGGAACCCUAAUACCACCGAAAAAAUGAUUACGCUGGUGUGGCAACCUGUGUUGCAGCCAUGGUGGAGAUAUGAUUGUUGCUAUUCAAGGCUGUCACGAUGAGUGUAAAGGCAACCUCUGUUAUCCAAGAUCUAAACCUUGAUCGGAGACCUCAACCACCUCAUGUUUUCGUUGCCUCACAAACCAGGUACUAGGCAGUUAUUUCUAUAGGAAAGGUAGGUGGUGUAAAAGGCUACUACAACAUCAUUUUGGAAAAAGAUAAGAGAUUGGAUUUUUGGUGGAAUUUAUGUGAGGCUUUCACAUUUUGGUCCAAUAAAUAUAUAGUGGAAACAAGAUGUUUCGUUGUGAAUGCUCUAAUCGUUUUAUAUCUUUUGAUUGAUUGUUAGACCGAGUACAUGUACACCGACCGAAUCGAUAAUGGAAAAUACUAAAGAAUACGUAAAAAUGGCAGCGCACACCGGGAUAUAAAUUCGUGUAUACAAACUUGCAUUUUUUA